ACGAACACUGGCGGCGUGCUUAACACAUGCAAGUCGAGCGGUAAGGCCCUUUCGGGGUACGACGAGCGGCGAACGGGUGAGUAACACGUGGGUGACCUGCCCUCCAGCUCUGGGAUAAGCCUGGGAAACCGGGUCUAAUACUGGAUAUGACUCCAUGACGCAUGUUGUGGGGUGGAAAGCCUUGUGCGGCUGAGGAUGGGCCCGCGGCCUAUCAGCUUGUUGGUGGGGUGAUGGCCUACCAAGGCGACGACGGGUAGCCGGCCUGAGAGGGCGACCGGCCGACACUGGGACUGAGACACGGCCCAGACUCCUACGGGAGGCAGCAGUGGGGAAUCUUGCGCAAUGGGCGAAAGCCUGACGCAGCGACGCCGCGUGAGGGAUGACGGCCUGGUU
rnacentral:rRNA from 1 species